rnacentral:rRNA from 1 species
AGUGAACGCUGGCGGUAGGCCUAACACAUGCAAGUCGAACGGCAGCACAGUAAGAGCUUGCUCUUACGGGUGGCGAGUGGCGGACGGGUGAGGAAUACAUCGGAAUCUACUUUUUCGUGGGGGAUAACGUAGGGAAACUUACGCUAAUACCGCAUACGACCUACGGGUGAAAGCAGGGGAUCUUCGGACCUUGCGCGAUUGAAUGAGCCGAUGUCGGAUUAGCUAGUUGGCGGGGUAAAGGCCCACCAAGGCGACGAUCCGUAGCUGGUCUGAGAGGAUGAUCAGCCACACUGGAACUGAGACACGGUCCAGACUCCUACGGGAGGCAGCAGUGGGGAAUAUUGGACAAUGGGCGCAAGCCUGAUCCAGCCAUACCGCGUGGGUGAAGAAGGCCUUCGGGUUGUAAAGCCCUUUUGUUGGGAAAGAAAAGCAGCAGGUUAAUACCCCGCUGCUCUGACAGUACCCAAAGAAUAAGCACCGGCUAACUUCGUG